rnacentral:piRNA from 1 species
CUUCUGAAAAGCAAACUUAGAAGCCGGUGU